ACAGAAUAGGGUAACGGCACCUCAUUGAGGACAGCUUCAUAUGGAUGUGGACUUCAAAUACAUAACUAAAAAGGAAAAAAGAAAAACAAACAACCAAAGAAAAAAACAAAAAGAAGCAUUUCUACACUGGAUAUCCCAGAUUUGGAAAUGAUUUACUCCGAGAUGCAUGGGGCUAUUAGGGGCAAAAAAAGAGAAUUAAAAUCUUGGAAUUGUGGUUUCCUGAAACCCAGGAAAGUCUCUUUUGAGACCUCCUAAACUUAAAUGAUAAUGACCAGGAAAUGGAUUUCAACUAAGGAGUAUCAACACUUGAAAGGAACUAAAGUAACCAUCUGUGAAGAAAAAUGAAGCUGGUCAAAUCAUGUAAAGAAUCUGAAUUUGAAUCAUUUAGAAUUUGUUCACAACUAUGACUCAAUAGUUAUAGAUAGUGU